rnacentral:tRNA from 2 species
GGCACAGUGGUAGAGUGGUUAAUACGUGAGACUCGAAUCCCCCGAAUGUGGUUGAACCAAACCGCAUUGGGCAAGUUUAGACCAUCUCAUGCCUUCGGGCGCGUAGGUUCGAAUCCUGCCUGUGUCG